UACGUAGGGUCCGAGCGUUGUCCGGAUUUAUUGGGCGUAAAGAGCUCGUAGGCGGCUUGCUAAGUCAGGUGUGAAACCUCCAGGCUCAACCUGGAGCCGCCACCUGAUACUGGUAUGGCUAGAGUCCGGUAGGGGACCACGGAAUUCCUGGUGUAGCGGUGAAAUGCGCAGAUAUCAGGAAGAACACCCGUGGCUAAGGCGGUUCUCUAGUACGGUACUGACGCUGAGACGCGAAAGCGUGGGGAGCGAACAGG
rnacentral:rRNA from 1 species